CUUGCGGAAGGAUCAUUA
rnacentral:ncRNA from 2 species